ensembl:lncRNA
UUGUGUCCUAAGGAAACUAUAUUGAAGAUAAUUGAAAUGAUUACAAUUCGCUGCUGCCUGACUUUGAAUAUGAGGAGUCACAUAAUGACAUUCCCUUCAUACAACAACAGUUUAAUUUCCAUUCUCCGUCUUUGGAGUCCUUGCGCCAGCCGCCCGGGCAACGCGGUGUUGAUGCAGAAAUCUUGGCUCCCGUCUGCAUUAUUUAUGCAUGUGUGUGGGUGUGUAUGGGUGAGACAGGAACGGAGACAGGGUUCAACCUCUUCCCACCCUUGGUCUGGAAAUUCCAAGGAACCCUUGGACACCAGGGAGCAGAGGGAAUCGCUAUCCUGGGCCGCUCUGCCCGUCGAGGCUGCAGCGAAGAUAAGUGCAAGGAACGGGACGUUUCAGCUGAUGUCUUGUUUUCCUCACUUGGUGUUUCUUCUGCAAUGCCCAGCAACACCCCGCCCGCCUCUGCCGUCUUUCCGGAGCCUGUG